GGGCUCGUAGCUCAGCUUGGUAUGAGCACUCGACUGAUAAUCGAGUGGUCGAGGGUUCGAAUCCCUCCGGGCCCACCA
rnacentral:tRNA from 1 species